rnacentral:rRNA from 1 species
UACGUAGGGCGCGAGCGUUGUCCGGAAUCAUUGGGCGUAAAGAGCUCGUAGGCGGCCUGUCGCGUCUGCUGUGAAAUCCCGGGGCUCAACCCCGGGCCUGCAGUGGAUACGGGCUGGCUAGAGGCAGGCAGGGGAGAACGGAAUUCCUGGUGUAGCGGUGAAAUGCGCAGAUAUCAGGAGGAACACCGGUGGCGAAGGCGGUUCUCUGGGCCUGUACUGACGCUGAGGAGCGAAAGCGUGGGGAGCGAACAGG